GACGAACGCUGGCGGCGUGCUUAACACAUGCAAGUCGAGCGGUAAGGCCUUUCGGGGUACACGAGCGGCGAACGGGUGAGUAACACGUGGGUGAUCUGCCCUGCACUUCGGGAUAAGCCUGGGAAACUGGGUCUAAUACCGGAUAUGACCUCCUAUCGCAUGGUGGGUGGUGGAAAGAUUUAUCGGUGCAGGAUGGGCCCGCGGCCUAUCAGCUUGUUGGUGGGGUAAUGGCCUACCAAGGCGACGACGGGUAGCCGACCUGAGAGGGUGACCGGCCACACUGGGACUGAGACACGGCCCAGACUCCUACGGGAGGCAGCAGUGGGGAAUAUUGCACAAUGGGCGAAAGCCUGAUGCAGCGACGCCGCGUGAGGGAUGAUGGCCUUCGGGUUGUAAACCUCUUUCAGCAGGGACGAAGCGCAAGUGACGGUACCUGCAGAAGAAGCACCGGCUAACUACGUG
rnacentral:rRNA from 1 species